rnacentral:misc_RNA from 1 species
GAAAUGCGAUAAGUAGUGUGAAUUGCAGAAUUCAAUGAAUCAUCGAAUCUUUGAACGCACAUUGCGCCCUAUGGUAUUCCGUAGGGCAUGCCUGUUCGAGCGUCAUUUACACCUUCAAGCCUUGCUUGGUGUUGGGUGACUGUGGCCCCUUUGGGGCCACUCGCCUUAAAGUCAUUGGCGGCCGGUUCGUUGGCUUUGUAGCGCAGCACAAUUGCGUCCUCGAAGCCGCUGGACCAGCUCCCAGAAGCUAAUUUUAAAUGUUUGACCUCGAAUCAGGUAGGGAUACCCGCUGAACUUAAGC